rnacentral:tRNA from 1 species
GGCCCGUUGGUCAAGCGGUUAAGACACCGCCCUUUCACGGCGGUAACAUGGGUUCAAGUCCCGUACGGGUCACCA